CUUUCUCUUGAUAAUGUGGAACUGGCUGAGGCAUCAAGCUCUGAUGAAGAGGAGAUGGUACUGGGUGUUGAAUCUGACUCUGAAGAGGAGGAAGAGAGUGGUCUGUACCAAAAAUGUAAGCAGCAGCUGAAGUUUAUGAAAGAAAAGAACCUUCGAGAGGCCAAAUACAACAAACUUAAAGUGAAAGAUGAAGAAUAUAACAAGAAAUGGGGAGAGAAAAAGUAUGUUUUCUAUGGAGGUCUUGGAGAUGAAGAAUAUAGUAAG
rnacentral:lncRNA from 1 species